UGUGGGAGCUGGCUUGCCAGCGAUGAUGGCGUCACAUCCAGCAUUGACGGCGACUGGUCCACCGCUAUCGCUGGCAAGCCAGCUCCCACC
rnacentral:misc_RNA from 1 species